rnacentral:miRNA from 1 species
UGAACUCACUAUGUAGCCCAGGCUGGCCUCCAACUCCCAGGGAUCGUUGUGAUUCAGUCUCCUAAGUGCUGGGAU